CCACGGUAUUUUAUUUUAAUUCUUUGUCAUUUUCUAUCUCUUUUUUUUCUUUUUUUUUCCCAUUCUCACUCUUGGUAGAGAAGGAGAAGAAGAGACUUUGAAAAGGAGAAGAGCAAAUUGAUGAAAAAUUAGAGCACAAUGAUUCGAAUUUCGAGCAGGUGCAUAAUUUAGUGAUGAAAUUUUACAUUUAGCUAUCAAAAUUGGAGGCGAUACCAAGAAUAUCUUCUUCAUGUUCUUCAUUUGGUCAAAGCUAAACAAUGAAUCGAAUACUUUAAAGCUCAGGCUGAAUUUACUGGAUUGGAGCUGCAUAUUAUGGACCUAGACCUUUAGUAGAGUUUAUGACCUUCAACUUUUCCAAGCUUAACAGGGGUGAACAUUCCGUCGAGAGUUAUUGCAGAUAAAAAGAAUUGAGCAUAUCAGUCGAGAUCAUGAAAUUUGUCCAGAAUUAAGUAAUUUUCGAGGGCGACCACCUUCAAUUAUUAAUGUAAUAAUAGAUGUGGUCAUGUGUUUGACAAAAUUCCCCAAUGAAGGCAAUACUUACGUGUUAUGAAAAUUGAUUAGUUUCAACAGUUGAUUGUCUUGGCAGAUGUUAAUGAUGUUGAACUAUCUACUAAGGCAAGAAUUUGAGUAGUCGAAUUUUUUGGUGUUGCCAUGAAAUUACCAAUUAUAUCAAAGGCUGAAACCUCAGAGAAAAGAAACACAAACAGAAUACAAUGGACAACUAAUUUAGUCGUUCAGCAAGAAUUUGAGUUGUCAAAUUUUUAGGUAUUGCGAUGAAAUUACCAAUUAUAUCAAAGGCUGAAAACUCAGGGACUCUAUCUUUUCUCAAUAUCACUUACACAUGUUACAUUAUCUGUUUGCCCAUACUCAGAACUUCACACUAUUUACGCCCAAUAUCGAUGGAGCUUAGUCUUGAAAUUAUACUACUGCUUAGUUAAAUAUUUCUAACAAACAUGGUACUAAGAUUGGACAUCGAUCAAAUAGAAUUAACAACACGAGAUUGGAUUUGUAAAAUUCAAAUUGUGGAAAUCCGACGCCAGAGAGAAAGCCUUGACAAGAAAUGUAGAUUCCAAAAUUUGAUUUUGGAAGAUGAACAGGAAUGUCAAAUAAAGGCAGUACUGUAUGCCGAUGAAAUUGAACAGUAUGAAAAAAUGCUUAAACUCGUGAAUACCUAUCUCAUCUAUACCGCAAGAGUCAAAAUCUCCCAAACAUCACACGGCAAGCCGAUACAUAAAUUUUCUGGGUUCUUGACAAAGAAACAGUAAUUGAACAUAUCACACCAUCUAAUGGAGUUAAGAAACCACUUCCACCACCAACCAAGCUGAGUAUCACAACCUUUAACCGCAUUCCUCACAUGAUGCUUGAUUCUGCUGUUGAAAUCGAUAUACUGGCAAUCGCUCUUCGUUGUGGUUCUCAAAAAUACGCAGGUCACUGUCAUCAUAAGUGUCGAGAAAUUAUCAUUUGUGACAAUCAGAAAAAUCAAUUUCUCCUCACUCUAUGGGAGGAUUUAGGAGAAAUUGAAGGAAAUGAAAUCGAAGCAAAAAUGGAAUAAGAGACGGAUCUUAUUGCUUGGCAGGAAUAUAGGAAUCUCUACUUUUCAAGAUUAGGUACAAUUCAACAAUACGUGUGGCUCCUAAUUACCCACAGGCAGUAGAACUCACCAAAUGAAGUUAUUAGGAUGGACAUACCGAUUUCAACAGCAAAAUCAAGCAUCAUGUGAGGAAUGCGGUCAAAGGUUGUGAUAUUCAGCUUGGUUGGUGGUGGAAGUGGUUUCUCAACUCCAUUAGAUGGUGUGAUAUGUUCAAUUACUGUUUCUUUGUCAAGAACCCAGAAAAUUUAUGUAUCGGCUUGCCGUGUGAAGUUUGGGAGAUUUUGACUCUUGCGGUAGAGAUGAGAUAGGUAUUCAUGAGUUUAAGCAUUUUUGCAUACUGUUCAAUUUCAUCGGCAUACAGUAUUGCCUUUAUUUGGCAUUCCUGAAAGUAAGAGUUGUAGAGAUCUGAGAAUAAGUCAAACUAUUUACUAAGAGUAAAACAAAACAAAAAUUUUCAUGAGGUAAAUAUUAAAAAGGGAGAA